UUUAAAGUGAAAUUUACAUUUUCAGGAAGAAAUGAGAAAAACCACAAUUGAUCAUCUGGAAAUGGAAACCAUGGAACUCAGCAGAUUCUACUUUGUGUUGCAGACUCUGCCUGACAAGAUGAACAGAGAACUAGAAGAGAGUAUCCGAGAUGCUCGCAGGUUAAAUAUCUGUGAGAUAAAACAAAUGCAAACAAGAAUUAAUACGAAGG
rnacentral:lncRNA from 1 species